rnacentral:rRNA from 1 species
CGAGUCUUAACUGGGCGAAUUAGUUGCAGGGUAUAGACCCGAAACCCGGUGAUCUAGCCAUGGGCAGGUUGAAGGUUGGGUAACACUAACUGGAGGACCGAACCGACUAAUGUUGAAAAAUUAGCGGAUGACUUGUGGCUGGGGGUGAAAGGCCAAUCAAACCGGGAGAUAGCUGGUUCUCCCCGAAAGCUAUUUAGGUAGCGCCUCGUGAAUUCAUCUCCGGGGGUAGAGCACUGUUUCGGCUAGGGGGUCAUCCCGACUUACCAACCCGAUGCAAACUGCGAAUACCGGAGAAUGUUAUCACGGGAGACACACGGCGGGUGCUAACGUUCGUCGUGAAGAGGGAAACAACCCAGACCGCCGGCUAAGGUCCCAAAGUCAUAAUUAAGUGGGAAACGAAGUGGGAAGGCUCAGACAGCCAGGAUGUUGGCUUAGAAGCAGCCAUCAUUUAAAGAAAGCGUAAUAGCUCACUGGUCGAGUCGGCCUGCGCGGAAGAUGUAACGGGGCUAAAUUAUGCACCGAAGCCGCGGCAGCGAUAUGUAAAUAUUGUUGGGUAGGGGAGCGUUCUGUAAGCCUGUGAAGGUGGCCUGUGAGGGCUGCUGGAGGUAUCAGAAGUGCGAAUGCUGACAUAAGUAACGAUAAUGCGGGUGAAAAACCCGCACGCCGGAAGACCAAGGGUUCCUGUCCAACGUUAAUCGGGGCAGGGUGAGUCGACCCCUAAGGCGAGGCUGAAAAGCGUAGUCGAUGGGCAACGGGUUAAUAUUCCCGUACUGGUGGUAACUGCGAAGGGGGGACGGAGAAAGCUAAAUCAUCCGGGCGACGGUUGUCCCGGUUUAAGCGUGCAGGUGGACUGACCAGGCAAAUCCGGUCGGUUGUUAACACUGAGGCGUGACGACGAGCCACUACGGUGGUGAAGUGAUUGAUGCUCUGCUUCCGGGAAAAGCCUCUAAGCUCCAGGUUAUCAUUAAUCGUACCCCAAACCGACACAGGUGGUCAGGUAGAGAAUACUCAGGCGCUUGAGAGAACUCGGGUGAAGGAACUAGGCAAAAUGGUGCCGUAACUUCGGGAGAAGGCACGCUGGCACUAGGUGAAGUCCCUUGCGGA